UACGGAGGGGGCUAGCGUUGUUCGGAAUUACUGGGCGUAAAGCGCGCGUAGGCGGGCUGGUCAGUUGGGGGUGAAAUCCCGGGGCUCAACCUCGGAACUGCCCUCAAUACUGCCAGUCUUGAGUUCGAGAGAGGUGAGUGGAAUUCCUAGUGUAGAGGUGAAAUUCGUAGAUAUUAGGAAGAACACCAGUGGCGAAGGCGGCUCACUGGCUCGAUACUGACGCUGAGGCGCGAAAGCGUGGGGAGCAAACAGG
rnacentral:rRNA from 1 species